UCUUUCCACAUACGGAUGAAUGAAGGAAAGUACCUUGUUCAGCUCUUCACAAAUGAUUUGAUUUCAAGAUGUGCAAUAAUAUAUAAGUGCUAAGGAUUCCUGGUCCACAGAGGAGUUGUGCAAUAGACAGUCCCUGCCCUCCAGGAGCCAACAGCCCAAUGGGGGAGACAACACACAAAUAAAAACAAAGCAUUUUCCUAGAGGAAAAUGGGAAAAAGCUACCACUGGCAUGAAGAGGGGUCGGAGAAGGCUUCCUGAAUAAGGGGGGAUUUUAGUUAGGACUUAAAGGAAGCCAGGAAGGUCAGUGGUCAGAGCAGAGGAUGAGGACUAUUCCAGGCAUGGGAGACAGCCAGAGAAAAUGCUGGGAGCUGAGAGAUGGAGGGUCUUGUUGAUGUGGGGGGGUGGGUUUAAUUAAUCAGAUUGAUCGUGAGGUGUCCCAAAGAAUUAUAAGACUCAGUGACUCAGUUUCCCAAGUUUUACUGCAAUACUCACAGAGCCACCACAGGGAGUGCACCAUGCAGGUGUCUCCAAUAAGAGGGAUGAAAAUGGUUAUAUUUAUAGUAUGGAUAAAUUGAUUAUCAGUCUCAUUACAAUAAUCUCCACCUUAGGGAGGUACAAGGGAGGUCAUGUCCUAAUUUGGACUUCCUGGGGUCCUGAGACAACCCCUCCCCCUAGGCAGGUACCUUUUCCCUUAGGGGUGUGUGUGUUCUUGGGGUUUCCAUGACAUAAGGUGAACCUAAGGACACAUUUGGCCUUUUCUGGUCAUGUUCAACUUGUCGAGGUCAGAGUGUCUCUGUGUUUUUGAUCUCCUUUACUUAGGCCUGGUUUCUAGGUGUCUUGUCAUCUGAUUUAAACGUUUCAGUUGUUGAUUACCAGUUGGGGUCUCUUUGAGCUGUCUCAGGUAGGGCGACCACAGGCAGAGCCAGCCAGGAGCAGCCGGACAUUGGUCAGCUUGCAGACGACCAAAGGCUAUUCCAAGGAGAGACACUGGAGCCAGAGAGAAUGACCCCAGGGACCCAGAGACCCUCAUCCCAGGAGUUGGUGACCUUCAAGGAUGUGGCUGUGGAUUUCACCCAGGAGGAGUGGCGCCUCUUGGACUGUUCUCAGGGAGAGCUGUACAAGGAGGUCAUGCUGGAGAAUGUCCAGACCCUGCUCUCUCUGGGAAUUCCAGUCUCUAGAGAAGAUCUGAGCUCCCCUUUCCAGGAAGGUCCAAGGAGCUCCUGUCCAGG